CACGUAGGGUGCGAGCGUUGUCCGGAAUUAUUGGGCGUAAAGAGCUCGUAGGCGGCUCGUUGCGUCGGCUGUGAAAACCCGCAGCUCAACUGUGGGCUUGCAGCUGAUACGGGCGGGCUGGAGUUCGGUAGGGGAGACUGGAAUUCCUGGUGUAGCGGUGAAAUGCGCAGAUAUCAGGAGGAGCACCGGUGGCGAAGGCGGGUCUCUGGGCCGAUACUGACGCUGAGGAGCGAAAGCGUGGGGAGCGAACAGG
rnacentral:rRNA from 1 species